CGUAGCAACAGCAGCAUGGCUAAACGCAAGUACGACAGCGAGGACAUUAAAUAUGGAUUUUCCUACAUCGAAGACAAAGGAGUCCAAAAGCCUCAGUGUAUUUUGUGUUGUGAGGUACUGGCAAGUGAAAGCAUGAAGCAUGAAUAAACUUUUCGAGCGGUUUAGCGACUACUUUCCCGAUAAACAACCCGAGGACGACUGGGUGCGCGACACGUUUGGAAUAAACAUGGAAAGCAUCACGUUGCCUAGCAGCGAUGAAUGUGAGCUGGUGGAGCUAUCAUGUGACCGCACUCUCAGAAAGAAAUUCACAGAGGUAUUAGACUACACAUAAUGUCAACAAACCUGGAACCACGGUAACAUAUCAGGACCUGACCUGGACAAAAAGGACUUUUAAUGACUUCUUCACAGUGAUAUGGAAGAUAAUAAAGAGGGCUGAUGAAAAGGAGAGCGGAGACAGGCUACUUCAUGUCUGAGCACAAAUGAGACUCACCUGCUGGCGAUUUGGAAAGCAGGUAAUAACAACACUAUAAUAAAGACACAAACACACACAGAGAUUCUUGGGUUGUGUUUGCUUUGCCAAACCAACUUUAUUCUUUAUCAAAAUGUCAUUAGUUCCAGCAUUGAAAGUUAUUAUGGUAACUGUGAAUAUACAUACUUGUAAACAAGCCAGACUAUCCUGCUUUGUGUCGUUUUCCUGCUUACUGAAGUGAAUGUGACAUGUGCUUUAAUGUUGAGUCCUGGUAGAGCAUGAAGUCACCAUCAUCAUCAUCAAGGGGGUUAUCUUUUUGGUCCAGUCUGUUUGUGAAAAAGUACACACACACAAACUAUAUUAGAAAACUUGGCAACAUAUAGUCAGUUUCCAGUUUUUUUUACAUAUGCAUAGCUAAGAUGAAUGCAGUCUAAUGCUGCAGCACUGCAAUAAAUCCUGCCAUCAUAAAGGUAAUAAUGAUUUAUUCUAGUUGACUCUUUUAGACCUAUCUUACAUUAUCAUGGAUGUUAAAAACAAAACAAAUCUGCCCACACACCUAUCAGUUUUACACAUUAACUCCAUACACACUAGAAUGCAAAAAAUGACCACAAUGAAGCAUGCCGGGACAGUCCACAUACUGGAUAUGUCAAAUAUCACAGAAGAACACUGUGUUAUUUUUAUUGUUUCUGUGUACUUUGAACUACAGAAUCUCAUGCUGGAAACAUUAGAUGCAGAGACUGUGCCAGUGAAGCGGUGCAGCAAUGCCAACUUGCAUUGUAAGCUUGUAAUGUCUGUUUGUCUAAUUAUGCAAACUAAUUGUAAUGAAAAGUUUGAGAAAAAUCACACUUUGAGUGACCUAAAAUGUUGUUUGUUAGCGGAUGAGUGCCCCAGAUAUAGAGGAAAAUGUUUGUUUUGAAAUAUUUCUGUAUUUGGCCCAGAGAGUUGUUGAUUAAACUGUAUUCUCAG